GCAGCCGCCGCGGUAAUACGAAGGGGGCUAGCGUUGUUCGGAUUUACUGGGCGUAAAGCGCACGUAGGCGGAUCGAUCAGUCAGGGGUGAAAUCCCAGAGCUCAACUCUGGAACUGCCUUUGAUACUGUCGAUCUGGAGUAUGGAAGAGGUGAGUGGAAUUCCGAGUGUAGAGGUGAAAUUCGUAGAUAUUCGGAGGAACACCAGUGGCGAAGGCGGCUCACUGGUCCAUUACUGACGCUGAGGUGCGAAAGCGUGGGGAGCAAACAGGAUUAGAUACCCGUGUAGUCCCUGUCUCUUAUAC
rnacentral:rRNA from 1 species